rnacentral:rRNA from 1 species
CAAUAGCGUAUAUUAAAGUUGUUGCAGUUAAAAAGCUCGUAGUUGGAUUUCUGGUUGAAGCGACCGGUCGGGCGUUGAUUCGUCUGCACUGGAGUCGGUUUUGGCCAUCCUCUAGGAAAGUGCGUCUGGUAUUAAGUUAUCGGGCGUAUGAUCCUGGUCUUUUACUGUGAAAAAAUUAGAGUGUUUAAAGCAGGCCUUCGCCUUGAAUACAUUAGCAUGGAAUAAUAAGAUAGGACUUUGGUCUAUUUUGUUGUUUUGCAGACCGAAGUAAUGAUUAAUAGGGAUAGUUGGGGGUAUUUAUAUUCCGAUGUCAGAGGUGAAAUUCUUAGAUUUUCGGAAGAUAAACUUAUGCGAAAGCAUUUACCAAGGAUGUUUNCAUUAA